UUUGCUGCGUGAAUAAAAUAAAAAGAUUUUAUGACGAUUGUGAACAUGAAUUUUAUGGCGCCUGGAUGCAGUUCUAAACCUGUCCAGCUAGAGGCGCUACACUCGCGUCAGCUGUAGUCACUUCUUCGGUCUGUCCCAGCUGACUGAUGUCGUCCAAUCAAUCCCAUGUUUGUGUUUAGUGCCAACGUCGUGUGUUUCUUCGCCUAUAUCGAGUUUAAAUGACAAUAACAUCAAUUUUACAUUAAAUUCAUAUCAGAUAUCAACCAAAUGAUGUAAUGUGCCCUUCUGGGGUUGCUAUUUUGGUUGCUCUUAAUCCAAAUGUCGAUAAUUAAUUGACAGCAGAUGACCUCAUGGGUAAGAGCACAUAUUUUUUUUACAUUUUGUUGAAGAGAAACUGUUAAUGCAUUCUUUUUCUGCGUCUUGUGUUUCCAACAGUGCAAUUGAUGUUUUUAUGUUUGUUUUUUGAGGUGUGACGCUUAUGAAAAAUAAAGCCGGAAGCAACAAUGAAGACUGUAAAGAUUGAAGGAAUGUCAGAGCUCGGGUGGGUACAACAGUCGCCCUCAGCGGGAGCCAGCAAUUCUCCAUGUGGGCUAAUGUCCGUCUACACUCCUCUGGAGAUUCAGCAGAAUUCACCGGUGGUGUGCUUGGAAGAAAAAAAAAAAGGAAGUGUCACAGCUGUAGUCAAGAUGUGUCUCGUGUGACGCAUUCUGGCCGCCAGUGAAAAGCCUGACCAGAAGCAAGACCAGAAAACCAGCCAUACUGCAUCUUCCUACCUCGUUGGCGCCCUUGCGAUAUGCAGUUUCCGUCACAUAUGUUUGGGCUGAUUGUUCUCCACGUGCCACCGCUUUCGACACAAAGAUCCAAUUACUGACCGGCGUCCGUCUGAUGGCGAAGCCGCACUCCAGAACAAAUCCAAGCUCGGCUGCAGUUGCACCGUAAGACUUUACGAGCGCGUUCAUUCCACUAGUUAAAAUGAUUCAUCUGCUUCAUCUCCAUGAAGCAGGUUUUAAUGCUUGAUUUUAAUGAGUCGUUGAUUUAAAUGCGACUCCCGUUGCUCUGUUCCGUCUUGACAAUGGAAGGAAAGUCUUGGUUGUGUCUCGCCAAUGCCUAUAACAUUCUAUUUAAUUACAAUACAAUACAAAAAAUAUGUUUAUUGUUACUGAAGAGUGCUAUUUUUUUUUAAAAAACUGAACAAUUAGCUUUUUGGGAUCACUGGAACGAAUUAAUAGCAUUCAUUUCAAUGACGACGGAUGAUUUGAGAUAAAAGUGUCUAAUUAAGUUUGGCACUACUCUAGUCAAGUUCGACAUUUAUACGCCAUCAGAUAGUCGUUGCUGGGGAGGAAACAACGAUACACUUAAUUAUGAUUCAGUGUUUCUUCAAUAUGCUAUCAUCACAACAUUCACGCUUAUCUUGCUCAUGCAACGUGUAGAUAAGGUGUUUUGGCGGGAACAGUAAACUCGUGUUCAUUUUUUUUGGGGGGGGCCUGCCUGCAAGCUAUUGUGGCUGUGCCUCAAAAUAAUAUUUUUUAACAGUUGCUGACCUGUCAAAGUGUUUGUAAAUAAACAUCGAGGGAAAAAAAAAGAAGCAAUUUUCUUGCUCUUUACGGAUGAGCAUUUUGCAUUUAAAUAAGUCUCCUUGGUCUCGAACAAGUGUUUUUAUCAUCUGGGCCGAGUGUCUGUCACGCUUCACCAAUAUGGUCGUUGUCGCCAUCAUUACUAAAUGUCGUUUUUGUGAGCAUAGGUUGCUUUGAUGAAUUCCAUCCUCUUCAGAAGUCUGCUCCUGGAAACGACGUCACGUUAUGCACGACCACCAAAUAAGAUGAAGCUGAGGUGCCUUCCUCGUCCUCUUCCUCCUCCCUCUAUUAAAAGUGCACCGUUUCCAUAGAGACGUGCUCUGGUUUUCUCCGCUAACUAGCCAAAAUACACCUUGCAGGACACAAUAUUAGAUCCAAUUCUAUUGAACCCAAAAAGACUUGCAGCUCUGUUGAGGCGAGCCAGGUCAACAUGUCGUCGUCCAGAUCAAUCAGGCCUUGUUCGCCAUUCGGUGGCCGGUGUUUGGGGCAAUUGCUGCUGAUGUGCUCUACUGUCUGGACUGGGUCCCCACACUCACAAGAGGCACUAUCUGCGAGUCCCCACCUCUUCAUUGCAGCUCCAUAGCGUCCAACGCCGGUCCUCAGGCGGUUGAGGGUUGUCCACUGUUUCCGGGGCAAGUCCUGGCCAGAGACGUCUGUGAGGUCAUUGAUGUAAUGGUGCAGCCUAGAUGGUUCUGCUGACUUCCACUGUUCUCUCCAUAUGGUCUUGACCCAGGUGGCCUUGGAAGUGUCAGCUGAUGUUGUGCUGAGCAGCUCAUGGGCUUGGAUGGCAAAGGGGCGUCGUGACUUUAGGCGCACGCGUCGUGGUGUCUCUGUGACGAUCUUAUGGAGGAGGUGGGAUUCACUGGUCUGUGCCUUUCGGGAGAGGGCCAGCGUGGCUGCUUCUCGUCUGAUGUCACUUAUGAUGCCGAAGGUGAAGCUCUUGAUAUCUGCGAUAUCUGUGAUAUCGGAUAUAUCUGUGUUGUAUUAUUGUAGAGCGGUGCUUCUCAAUUAUUUUCUGUGAUGCCCCCCCCCCUAGGGAGAAGAAAACAUUUUGCGACCCCCCCCAUGUUAUUAACCUUAGAGAAAAC